rnacentral:rRNA from 1 species
AUUGAACGCUGGCGGCAGGCCUAACACAUGCAAGUCGAACGAGUGGCGGACGGGUGAGUAAUGUUUGGGAAUCUACCUUAUGGAGGGGGAUAACUACGGGAAACUGUAGCUAAUACCGCGUACCAUAGGAUGAGCCCAAGUUGGCUUAGGUAGUUGGUGAGGUAAAGGCUCACCAAGCCGACGAUCCCUAGCUGGUCUGAGAGGAUGACCAGCCACACUGGGACUGAGACACGGCCCAGACUCCUACGGGAGGCAGCAGUGGGGAAUAUUGCACAAUGGGCGCAAGCCUGACGCAGCCAUGCCGCGUGUAUGAAGAAGGCCUUCGGGUUGUAAAGUACUUUCGGUCGGGAGGCGUUACCUACAGAAGAAGCACCGGCUAACUCCGUGCCAGCCGCCGCGGUAAUAC